CCAGUUUUUGCUCCAAGGACCAAUCGGUCCCUGGAAAUAGCUUCAGCAUAUAGUCCGUACCCGAAACCGACACUGGUGGUCAGGUAGAGUAUACCAAGGCGCUUGAGAGAAGAAUGUUGAAGGAACUCGGCAAAUUACAUCCGUAACUUCGGGAUAAGGAUGCCUCAUUAACGCGCAAGCGAUUAUGAGGGACACAAAAAUGGUGGUGGCGACUGUUUACCAAAAACACAGGGCUCUGCUAAGUCGUAGAAGACGACGUAUAGGGUCUGACGCCUGCCCGGUGCCGGAAGGUUAAAAGGAGGAGUGCAAGCUCUGAAUUGAAGCCCCGGUAAACGGCGGCCGUAACGAUAACGGUCCUAAGGUAGCGAAACUCCUUGUCGGGUAAGUUCCGACCUGCAUGAAUGGCGUAACGACUUCCACACUGUCUCCAACAUUUCCUCAGCGAAGUUGAAUUCCUCGUGAAGAUGCGGGGUACCCGCGGCUAGACGGAAAGACCCUAUGAACCUUUACUAUAACUUUGCAGUGGCAUUAGAAGUGCCAUGUGUAGCAUAGCUGGGAGACUUUGAAACCUGGGCGCUAGCUCGGGUGGAGUCGAAAUGUGAAAUACCAGCCUUGUUAUUUCUGAUGUCUAACCGGGACAGUAAUCCUGUUUCGGGACCCUGCAUGGUGGGUAGUUUGACUGGGGCGGUCGCCUCCCAAAUUGUAACGGAGGCGCGCAACGGUUGGCUCAAUCUGGUCGGAAAUCAGAUUUAGAGUGUAUUGGCAUAAGCCAGCCAGACUGCAAGACUGACAAGUCGAGCAGAGACGAAAGUCGGUCAAAGUGAUCCGGUGGUCUCCGAAUGGAAGGGCCAUCGCUCAACGAAUAAAAGGUACUCUAGGGAUAACAGGCUGAUACCACCCAAGCGUCCACAGCGACGGUGGUGUUUGGCACCUCGAUGUCGGCUCAUCUCAUCCUGGGGCUGGAGCAGGUCCCAAGGGUAUGGCUGUUCGCCAUUUAAAGAGGUACGUGAGCUGGGUUCAGAACGUCGUGAGACAGUUCGGUCCCUAUCUACCGUGGGUGUUGGAAUAUUGAGAGGCGCCGUCCCUAGUACGAGAGGACCGGGAUGGACGUACCUCUGGUAGAUCUGUUGUCACGCCAGUGGCAUAGCAGAGUAGCUACGUACGGACAGGAUAAACGCUGAAAGCAUCUAAGCGUGAAACCUACCUCAAAACAAGUAUUCCCUAUAGAGUCGUCGAAGACUACGACGUUGAUAGGCCAGAUGUGUAAGGGCAGCAAUGCUCUCAGCUUACUGGUACUAAUAGCUCA
rnacentral:rRNA from 1 species